rnacentral:rRNA from 1 species
UACGAAGGGGGCUAGCGUUGCUCGGAAUCACUGGGCGUAAAGCGCACGUAGGCGGCUUUCUAAGUCAGGGGUGAAAUCCUGGAGCUCAACUCCAGAACUGCCUUUGAUACUGGGAAGCUCGAGUCCGGAAGAGGUGAGUGGAACUCCGAGUGUAGAGGUGAAAUUCGUAGAUAUUCGGAAGAACACCAGUGGCGAAGGCGGCUCACUGGUCCGGUACUGACGCUGAGGUGCGAAAGCUAGGGGAGCAAACGGG